ensembl:lncRNA
GUCCACGUGUGUCUGCCCCUGGAACGGUGGGAAAUCAUUUCCAGGGGCAGGGGGUAUAGCCAAAAACAUCACUGCGGAUUGAUGAGGGGAUCACAGAAAGCCUGAGGUUGACUCUGAUGAAAUGUAAACGUGGGAGUUGAGAAUGUGAAGGCUGCAAAGUGGGACGGGGGAAGCUACCAGACCAGGAUGUGUGGGUGGGACCAGGAUUUUUAGCACGCUCACGUGUACCUGGAGGAAGUGUGUGCUGGGCCACCCAGAGCUGCUGACACUGCAGCCUGGAGGGUUGGAGCUUUUUAGAGAAACCAUUAGUCUAGUGACAGGGAGAAGAAUGAAAAAGCCGCCAGGGCCGAGGUGUAAGGCAUGGUUGUCUUUCUGGUUCUAGCGGCCCAUCCCUGCUCCUCCAGGCAGAGUUCCUGACCAGGGAUCGAACCUGGGCCCGCGGCAGUGAAAGCGCCGAGUCCUGACCACUGGACCGCCAGGGAAUUCCCAUCAUAUCUAUUUUCUUAAUACCUGCAGGAGCUGGACCAGAGGUUUCUAGAGUGGGCAUUGCUGCCCCCAAGGCAAAGGACACCCUCUCCGUGGCUGAGGACUCUGGCCCGAGUUGAAAAGCCUUUAAUUGGGCUCUGACAUCUCCAUUCCCUGAGAGCAUAGUCGUCAAUCCUCUCGGCAGACAGGCCGGCCACAAGCCCAGUUUCAGAGAGCAGGCCCGGGCUGGCCUGGGCCCAGAGGACCGAGGGGGAUCUGCUGCCAAUCGACGGCGAGGACACCAGCCUCAGAGCACCCCAGCGACUUGAGCUCACAGAGGCCAGGCCAGAACUCUGCCAGUCCAGAGGGUGGAAGCCCAGCAUUCUCAGGACCUAGAAUCUAUCUGAAAAACUGAGGGCAGGAGGAGACGGGGCAAAAGAGGGUGAGAUGGUUGGAUGGAAUCACCAGCUCAAUGGACAUGAAUUUGAGCAAACUCCGGGAGAUGGUGGAAGACAGGGAAGCCUGGCGUGCUGCAGUCCAUGGGGUUGCAAAGAGCUGAACGUGACUGAGCGACUGAACAACAAAAACAUGCCCUGGACUGGAGUCAGACAGCCCUGGGUUCGAGAACUUGGUCAGCUGGGGAACCUCCAACGAGCCCUGGACCCCUCUGCACAGGGCCUCUGGUCUGUAAGAUGCUAACAGCUCCCUGCAGGCUUGUGAAGAUUGCUAAAACUAUCCUCCCAAGCCUGCAGCAUGGGCUCCGAGCAUGUUAAUCCCCUUCCCACAUUUCUUUUCUGCUUUUUCCUCUCUUAGAUUUUUCUCUUUCCUUAUCUCUUUGACCUUUCUUCACCUCUAAAUCUCUUCUCAGCACUUUUCUCAGUCCCUCAGGCUGCUUUCUUUUCUCCUUUCCACAAGUCAGACCACAGAGGCAGGGAGGCUGGAAGGAAAGCCUCAUACCUGAGACCAUGGAGGCCCGGUGCUCACAGGCCUGAGAGUGCUGGCCUUCGCUGGGCUCCCAGCUCCAGAGCAGAUCCUGGUACUCACCUCAGCUCCUCUUACACUUUCCCUCUUGGAGGCUUCUUCCUGGCCAAGAACAGGAGGGACAGGAGAAAGCAGGACGAGACAGGGAACAGAGGUGGUAGUCCCCCCCAGCCACCCCUCAGCCUGGCAAACAGACAGCAGAGGCUAUAGGAAAUAAACACGACACUAGUUAAGUAAUGGAGUAAUGGGGUGCUUCGGUGCAACUGCUCCCCUCCCUGUAACUCCCUGUCACAUCCCAGUGCAGAAAGAAGUCCUUCCUCAGAUCUAACUUAUACCUUCCUGCUGCACUUCCUGCCUACUUCCUUUUGGUCCAUGUGGAU